GACGAGGGAUCCUAGCGUUGUUCGGAAUCACUGGGCGUAAAGCGUUUGUAGGCGGCUCUAUAAGUCGGGUGUGAAAUCCCACGGCUCAACCGUGGAAGUGCAUUCGAAACUGCAGAGCUUGAAUAUGGUAGAGGAGAGUAGAAUUCCUGGUGUAGUGGUGAAAUACGUAGAUAUCAGGAGGAAUACCGGUGGCGAAGGCGGCUCUCUGGACCAAUAUUGACGCUGAGAAACGAAAGUGCGGGGAUCGAACAGG
rnacentral:rRNA from 1 species